AGCCUGUGAUGGUUUCAGUCUAAGAGUAGUGGACAGAAGUGAUUUCUGAAAACUCCAUGCUGAGGCU